rnacentral:lncRNA from 1 species
AGUUUAGGGUUUAGGGUUUAGAGUUGAGAAAUGGGGUUUUGGGGAUAAGAUUUCAAAUUUUGAAGAAUAAAAAAAUUAAAAUUUUCGAAGGAUAAAUUUAGAAAGGUGCUAUUUUGGUCAUUUUAGUUUUUGAUUGCUAUUUUUGUGAUAUAAACUUAGAAAUGUGCUAUUUUGGAGAUUUGCCAUUUUUAUUUUUAUAUAAUAAAUUUUUUAAACAAUUUUAGUUAUAAAAUAGUAAUAUACAUAUGUAUUCUAUUAUUUAUAUCUUGUUUCUUAUAAAAUGGUUUAGAAAAUACUUAUAUUUUUG